GCAGAGCAGCUGAUUUAGCCUUGUUUGUGUGUUUACGUCUCGCGAAGUUCGCAGAUUUGGACCUUUUAUCGCGUUUAUCGGGGAUGCGGCGGCUGUUGCAGGCGUCGGCGCCGCUGUCGGCGCCGCUGUCGGCGCCGCUGUCGGCGCCGCCGGACGAGGCCAUGCCCGGCAAGCUGCGGAAAAAGAGCGGCAAAACAUAGCCAAGGUGGUGCCGUGAGGACCGCGAGCAAUUUCUGCCGAUGAUCGUUGAUCAGCGACCCUCCCUGGGGACGCCAGGUCUCUUUUUUAAUCUAAAAGGUUCGACUAGAGGAGCGUGGAAAGAAUUUGUGCUGAGUGAAUAAUUCUGCUGGCGAGGAGAUGGUGCAGGUGGCGCCGACAAUGCCGCCAGCCCCAGCAUCAGGUCGUCGACGUCGGAAAGACACGUGAGAAGAUCGCUGACCUGCCGAGAGUUGACCCUGAUUGGCAGAAGCAGGAGUAAGGGCAAGGUGCGGAGAAAAGGACAACCUUGGGCAGCAGCACCGUGACUCCGACUGUUCGUCCGAGACGUCGGUGACGAGCGGCCGCAAGUCGAACCCUUCGCCAAAGGGCCAAGUCCAAACACACCGAAGAGACCACCUACAGGCUCGGCAGCUGCGGUAUGGUCACCUGGUGGGGUUCGGCGUCAGGUAUAACUCGUACCUGUUGUCGUGGGCGAUCGCGUCCUGGAUCUGGCAGCACUACUUCGAAGAGAACCUUUGCUCGUGAAUUGAAUGAUCUUCCGCAACGGUAUCUGUAUAUUUUAUUUUUUGUUAGAUUCUUUCAAGUAAAAUAAAUCCAUAAUAAGAUAGGGA